AGACACCAGUGAGGAUUAAACUCACGACCCCUGGCUUACAAGACCAGUGGUCUAACCACUGAGCUAUGGUGGC